rnacentral:rRNA from 1 species
GAUGAACGCUGGCGGCGUGCCUAAUACAUGCAAGUCGAGCGAACAGAUAAGGAGCUUGCUCCUUUGAAGUUAGCGGCGGACGGGUGAGUAACACGUGGGUAACCUACCUAUAAGACUGGGAUAACUUCGGGAAACCGGAGCUAAUACCGGAUAACAUUUAGAACCGCAUGGUUCUAAAGUGAAAGAUGGUUUUGCUAUCACUUAUAGAUGGACCCGCGCCGUAUUAGCUAGUUGGUAAGGUAACGGCUUACCAAGGCGACGAUACGUAGCCGACCUGAGAGGGUGAUCGGCCACACUGGAACUGAGAUACGGUCCAGACUCCUACGGGAGGCAGCAGUAGGGAAUCUUCCGCAAUGGGCGAAAGCCUGACGGAGCAACGCCGCGUGAGUGAUGAAGGGUUUCGGCUCGUAAAACUCUGUUAUUAGGGAAGAACAAAUGUGUAAGUAACUGUGCACAUCUUGACGGUACCUAAUCAGAAAGCCACGGCUAACUACGUG